GCUUAACUCUGGAACUGCCAUCAAAACUUUUCAGCUAGAGUUUGAUAGAGGAAAGCAGAAUUUCUAGUGUAGAGGUGAAAUUCGUAGAUAUUAGAAAGAAUACCAAUUGCGAAGGCAGCUUUCUGGAUCAUUACUGACACUGAGGAACGAAAGCAUGGGUAGCGAAGAGGAUUAGAUACCCUCGUAGUCCAUGCCGUAAACGAUGUGUGUUAGACGUUGGAAAUUUAUUUUCAGUGUCGCAGCGAAAGCGAUAAACACACCGCCUGGGGAGUACGACCGCAAGGUUAAAACUCAAAUGAAUUGACGGGGACCCGCACAAGUAGUGGAGCAUGUGGUUUAAUUCGAAGAUACGCGCAGAACCUUACCAACACUUGACAUGUUCGUCGCGACUUUAAGAGAUUAAAGUUUUCGGUUCGGCCGGACGAAACACAGGUGCUGCAUGGCUGUCGUCAGCUCGUGUCGUGAGAUGUUGGGUUAAGUCCCGCAACGAGCGCAACCCUCACUUUUAGUUGCCAUCAUUUAGUUGGGCACUCUGAAAGAACUGCCAGUGAUAAGCUGGAGGAAGGUGGGGAUGACGUCAAGUCCUCAUGGCCCUUACGUGUUGGGCUACACACGUGCUACAAUGGUAUCUACAACAGGAAGCGAAACAGCGAUGUUAAGCAAAUCCUUAAAAGAUACCUCAGUUCGGAUUGCACUCUGCAACUCGAGUGCAUGAAGCUGGAAUUACUAGUAAUCGUGGAUCAGCGUGCCACGGUGAAUGCGUUCCCGGGUCUUGUACACACCGCCCGUCACACCAUGGGAGUUGGUUCUACCUUAAGGCAAGGUUUAAUACCCUUGACCACGGUAUAGUCAGCGACUGGGGUGAAGUCGUAACAAGGUAGCCGUA
rnacentral:rRNA from 1 species